rnacentral:misc_RNA from 1 species
AAUAGGGAGACCAACUGAAGCAGGGGGAGCAGGGGAAGCAGAGGAGCAGGGGGAGAAAGAAGCCCUCAAGCGAACUAACGCUAACCAAGCACAACCCAAAUAGGAUGAAAAAUACUCUAAACACAAAGUUCAUCCCUUCAGUCAUCCCAGGUCGGUCGAGAUUGAUGCUAUUGGCUUUCAAACUAUAUUUGGUUCAAGUCUAAUGAGUGUUGUAGAACCACCCAUCAACAAGUUCGGUUCUGCCCACUGUUGAGGGGCGAAUUAUCUAGUACAUUAGUAUUGAUGGCUAAAGAGCCAAGUAAAUGAAACUUCUUCAGCACCUUAUCUAGUAGAGCUAGAGAGAAUGCUGGAGUUAAAAUCCAGACAGAACCUUGAAAAUUACAUAGCAACUUGUCAGGUAGAAAGCAUUGAUUGUUAAUAGUUAACAGUCAAUAGCGAUCGCAGACACCAAUUGUUGAUUGU